AUUGAACGCUGGCGGCAUGCCUUACACAUGCAAGUCGAACGGCAGCACGGGUGCUUGCACCUGGUGGCGAGUGGCGAACGGGUGAGUAAUACAUCGGAACAUGUCCUGUAGUGGGGGAUAGCCCGGCGAAAGCCGGAUUAAUACCGCAUACGAUCUACGGAUGAAAGCGGGGGACCUUCGGGCCUCGCGCUAUGGGGUUGGCCGAUGGCUGAUUAGCUAGUUGGUGGGGUAAAGGCCUACCAAGGCGACGAUCAGUAGCUGGUCUGAGAGGACGACCAGCCACACUGGAACUGAGACACGGCCCAGACUCCUACGGGAGGCAGCAGUGGGGAAUUUUGGACAAUGGGCGAAAGCCUGAUCCAGCAAUGCCGCGUGUGUGAAGAAGGCCUUCGGGUUGUAAAGCACUUUUGUCCGGAAAGAAAUCCUUGGCCCUAAUACGGUCGGGGGAUGACGGUAUCGGAAGAAUAAGCACCGGCUAACUACGUG
rnacentral:rRNA from 1 species